AAAGGGACAAGGAGAGAGAGAGAGAGAGAGAGAGAGAGAGAGAGAGCGCCAGGCGUGUUUCCGACGUGAUACGUAAAUGUCUGACACCACCGGGGACAACAAGACAGGUGGGGACGACCAACAGAGAGAGCAAGAGGAGAGGGCGUCGCGGCGCGCAGCGUCUGCUGGUCGAUCGAUGACUAGUCGGCGAGUUCGCGCGGGAUUAUCGCACGCCCGUGGCUUGGCUCUUCGUGUUGUUCCUUAUCGCCGCGUCCCUAGGUACUCCCGUCAAUCCUGGAGCACUUGAGGAAUCUCUGGAGGAAGUGAAGAUCCUUAAGGGAAUACGAGAUUUUCCCUCUCGUUGAUCACUUCCGUGUUUCUUCCUUAUCGUCACGUCUCUAGGUGCACCCGUCAAACCUGGAGGACCCAAAGAGUUCUCUGGAGGAAGUGGAAGUCGUUAAAGGGAUACGAGAUUUUUGCUCAUUCGGAUUGCUUCGUUCUUCUUCCUUCCGUCUGUUUGUUGUCGUUGAUUGUACAGUCGAGUAGGACUUGGUUCAUAACGCGAGUUUGAUUAUCAAGUGACGACAUCGGCACAAUCGUCGAUCUGUUUCCGGUUGGCGGAAGCAAUGACGAUUAGCAAACGCUGUCCUUCGGGCUAAUACGGGAACGUUAUGUGUCUCAGCUGUUCGCUCCUGGAGGAGAAAAACCGAUGGUGGAUCCAAUCUUUAUUUCUUGCCUCCUCGUGCACGCAAGGAUGCCGCAUCGAUCAACAGAUUACUGAGCGAGCUAAAUUCGUAACGUUCGCUAGCGCCGAUUAAAAUGGAUCGCGUCUGUGUACACGAGCGAGCGAUUCCGCGAUUAGAUAGUACCAAUAACGCUUAUCGCCGCCAAUUUUUUUCGUCUUCACAGCUGCGCCGCGCAGAUUAUUCCGCUAUGCGUAUUGUAGAGCAAAUUGGCGAGAGAUUCUGCUCCGCGUUCUGUGAAAUCUCACUUUUAUCUUGAUCAAUUUUCCUGCCACCUCUGUAUCGGAAAUCUGCUUCAACAAUUUCGUGAAUUGUGGUGGUUUAAUUUUUUCCUUCUUCGUACUUCUCCUUUAUUUUGAUACCUUGUAUUUGAAUCCCUCAUUAAAUUCAAAUUAUCCCGAACUUCUUUCUCUAUCUUGCGAUCUUCCGAUGCAUACAUUUCCACAUUUCGCGAAUGAUAUACAUAUAUCACAGGCGAGUUCGAAGAGACUGAAAAUAUUUAAAAGUGGAAAGUUUUAAAUGUCGUCCCAAUCACAUAAAUAAUUAAUCGCUUAAUCAAGAUUUUGCAAGCAGGUCUCCGCUGCGCAUCGGGAAUCUCUAACAACGUAAACCCUGCGUCGAGAAUAAUAAAAAAAAAGAAAAUAACGUCACAAUCGACGAUCCGAUUCGCUCGUACUCCAAAGUGUUACAAGUGAAGCUCUCUUACGGAGAGUCGCGCCCUCGAAAUCGGAACGCGAUACUUUUACUGCGUCCCAUUAAGACGCACACGCGCACAUAUAAACAACGUUUCGACACGCGCACCUACGUCCGGAAGUCUAGCUGCGCGCGUCCUUGUACGAAUUGCGACAGCCCCGGCGACUUUCGGAGCGGCUUCGACGCGGUCGUUUCCUCGCGAAGUGGAUCACUGACAGCAAACGCGGCGGGCUUUACUCUCCGCUCUAUCCCGCGGCCGCUCUUUUUCUCGCGAGUCUAUCCCCUCUUCCAAUUCCUCUUUCCCUCUCUCUCUCUCUUGUUCUCGCGCAGUUCCGAAAUUACCGAAAUAAAUCUCGCGGAAACGCGGGCUCUAACACUCGUAUUUUUUCUCUUCCGCUUCGUUAUCGCGAGAUGACGGAAGAAGAACAACGACGCCGAGUCUGACGUCUCUGUCUCUCUAUCUCUAUCUUCCCGCGCGCACUUUCUCGGCCGUAAAUAGCCGCGCGACUCUUCAAAUACUCCACGACAUCGGCAGCAUCGUGGCCGACCGCUACGUCUUGCUCUACUUCGCUGGAAUCGAAGCGGCCGCGAUCAGCGUCGCUUCUCCUCGCGAAACGCGACGACCGACUGCGCUGCUUCUUCACCACGAGGCAUCAUCGAGGCUCUCUCUCUCUCUCUCUCCUCGACGUCGACUCGCGGUUGCUACCCGACUCCCCUCGAGAAUGACGUUUUCUUCCCCGCCGACAAUCCUCCCUCCUUCGCGGCGAUUUAAUUAUUCGCGGGCAGCAUCGAGGUCGAUGCCUGCAGGUGGUCGCGAACGUACGUCACCGACGCUCGCGAUGACAGCUUGACGGCUGCCGGGGGAGCGAGGAGGGAGGGAGGAGGGAGACACGUGGUGAACCCGCGGAUGACACAGAUCUCUCGCCCUGCGAAUGACACCGAGCUCGACACGCCUCGAUCACGCUUCCGGUUUCGCCGGGGCUGAUGCCUCGCUUCGCCCUUCGUCGUUUCCUCUCUUGCGCAUCCUUUUCGACGAGGUCCUCCGAGGUCCCCCGACAGAGACGAUCACCAGUGCUUGAUACGCUUGACUCGUCGAUACGAAGGCGCGACGCCGAAGACGACGAAAUCCGCGACGAUCGCGACGGCGUCAGCAGGCGUCAGGCAUGCGUGUUGGGGAAGCUGCGGACUUUCACGCCUGUCUGCCUCCUCUUUUCUAUCCUCGUCCCUUUGUCCCUUCACCUGACACCGCUCUCUUUCUCUCUCCUGCUAGCUAAACGUGCCGCCUAGCCACGAGUUGAUUCACGAGGAUCGUCGAGUCUAGAUACUGAUGUGCUUACGCUAAUUUAAGUAAUACGAGUUCAAGCUGAUCAAACCCCGCGCGAUAAGACGCUUGAAAGACGUCACAAAGACGUCUAUAUAGGAUAUGCGUUCUUUUAUGAUUUUUUUCAGGUGUCUCUUUUUAGUGUCUGCUGAGGAAUAUUUUGCUCCGAAGACUCUGACUCGAGAAAAAGAACGUUAGAUGUAUUGAGCGAUGUUGGAAAGAAAGUCUUCAGCUCCUUCGGGCUUUCGAAAAUCUGUUUCCGAUAGUAAUCGCGAUAUUCCGCAAAGUCUCGCCAAUAAAUCUUCAUCGAUUCGAAUUUAAAUUUCCGAAAGCCUUUCGAUUUGUUUGAAUAAAAGCUCCCGAUUCUCUUCCUGAUUUAUUCAGAAAGUCUUUAGAAUCGCGGGAUGCAUUAUUCGUCCGUAACGUCAAGCUUUUCAAGAGAAUCUUCAAAGAGGGACAGACUUUACGGAGAGCAAAAAGACACUUAAAUUAAAAAAAAAAAAAAGAAGAAAAAGAGAAAAAUUUGACAUUUGCGAGCUGGUGAACGCGUCUGCGCAGCUGGAAGCCUGCGUUGUUGACACUGCGACAUUGUAAUGAGUUAACCAGCUCCUCUCUCUGUCUCUUUCUCGUUUUCCCUCCUCAUCCCCGCUAUCACGACGAGAAUAUACCUGCCGGCGCAUCAUACCCUCUCGCGAUACGUAUUUAUAAAUCGUGAGCCACUUGGCAGUACAAAUGCAACCCGGUAGCGAUCGCGGGAGGACAGUCGAGUCCGAAUUUUCCUCGAGAUUCGAGUCCCAAGUGGAUUUCUACGCAAGCUCGAGUAAUUAGACUGAGGCAUUUACAUACAUAUAUAAAGUUAGAAGAAUUUCUAGUUGAGCAGAGAUUCGAAUUAUCCGCGCGAUCUAAUUGUGGUACAAUGUCCGCUCCUCAGCUACGUCUUAUUUUUACACGAGCGGUCGCGAAAAAGAAAAGAAAGAAACAGCGGUCGCAACUCUUUGUCGCGUCCCGCUUUCUCUCUCUCUCUCUCUCAACUGGCUUUCUCUACAGCAUUUUCACCAAAUCUCGUCGGUGAUAAGUGCCGCUUGACGUCAACGCUUCCUUCGUUAUCACUCGCCUGCGAGAGAGGCGAAGUCUAUCUCUCGCGUCACCAAAGACGAGACGAAGUCCGUGUAAAAAAUCUCGCGAAUUUUUCCGCAGACCUCGGUUCGUUGACGUUUCGACCGCCUGAUGAUAUUAAUAUUACUAUUCUUGUGAAAUUCAAGACGCAUGUUGCAACGCGCGAGCGCCGGUUGACGUUUCUCAUACACGUCGGUCACGCAACUGUUAGUUAGGCGCCGAUAAUAGACGAGUGUACGCGCAUGAUAAUAUAGCACUUAGAUUUCAUCCGAGAUGGACUAUAGUCGACCCGCGUUAACUUCUACGUCAUGCGAUAAAAGUAUAUGUGCUCCUAAUUAAGUCCCAAUUUCUGUUGACACGCGCGUCUGUGAGAUUGAGACACUAUUUUCAAUUCCGCUGUCAGAAGUCGCCAAGGCUGUCCCAAAAUAAAUGUCGUCGGCGAAGAAUGAAUGACUUUUACGCCUGCUCUAAUCUAAGUCAGUGUGAAAUUAUUGCUACAGCGCGAAUGUAGGCUUGAAAAAUCUUGUUAUGUGAUAACCGAUAAACAUAUAUAUUUGACGUACGUCAUCAUAAACGUCGCGAUGAUAAUGUAACGUUACGGAGUUUUAGAAACCCUUGCGCUUUAUUAUGUAUAAAUGUUACAUUUAUGUAUAAAAAGUAUAGUAGAUACAAAUAUAUAUGGCUUUAUAGGAAAAUAUAUAUGGCUUUAUACCUUCA